rnacentral:rRNA from 1 species
GAGUUUGAUCAUGGCUCAGGAUGAACGCUGGCGGCGUGCCUAAUACAUGCAAGUCGAGCGAACGGACGAGAAGCUUGCUUCUCUGAUGUUAGCGGCGGACGGGUGAGUAACACGUGGAUAACCUACCUAUAAGACUGGGAUAACUUCGGGAAACCGGAGCUAAUACCGGAUAAUAUUUUGAACCGCAUGGUUCAAAAGUGAAAGACGGUCUUGCUGUCACUUAUAGAUGGAUCCGCGCUGCAUUAGCUAGUUGGUAAGGUAACGGCUUACCAAGGCAACGAUGCAUAGCCGACCUGAGAGGGUGAUCGGCCACACUGGAACUGAGACACGGUCCAGACUCCUACGGGAGGCAGCAGUAGGGAAUCUUCCGCAAUGGGCGAAAGCCUGACGGAGCAACGCCGCGUGAGUGAUGAGGGUCUUCGGAUCGUAAAACUCUGUUAUUAGGGAGAACAUAUGUGUAAGUAACUGUGCACAUCUUGACGGUACCUAAUCAGAAAGCCACGGCUAACUAC